CACAGGUAGAAGAUGCUGAAAUUGUUCCUAACCCUCAACAAACAAUUCCACAGGACAUCAAUACUGUGCUGAGAGAGUUGAUCGCCUCGGUGGCUGGACUGAAGGUGGAGACAAAGUACCUACAGAGAGAUCAUGAAGCUAACACGAGAGAGAUGAAAGAUGAGUUGGAGAAGGUGAAACAACUGUACCAAGCUAAGACAGAGGAGUUGGACAAGCUGAAACAACAG